rnacentral:tRNA from 1 species
GGAGAGGUGGCUGAGUGGCCGAAAGCACCGCUUUGCACACGACUCCACGGCCCGAAUCGGCGGGCCGUGGCCGCAUUGAACGCGUUAAAGCGGCGUACGGGUCAAACUGUACCGCGGGUUCGAAUCCCGCCCUCUCCG